rnacentral:rRNA from 1 species
UCGAUUAGAGUUUGAUCCUGGCUCAGGAUGAACGCUGGCGGCGUGCUUAACACAUGCAAGUCGAACGAUUAAAGCCCCUUCGGGGGUGUAUAGAGUGGCGAACGGGUGAGUAACACGUGAGCAACCUACCUUCUGUUCUGGGAUAACUCGAAGAAAUUCGUGCUAAUACCGGAUACUCCGUGUCCUUCUCCUGAAGGACACGGGAAAGCGCAUACGACAGAAGAUGGGCUCGCGGCCCAUUAGCUUGUUGGUGGGGUAAUGGCCUACCAAGGCGAUGAUGGGUAGCCGGGUUGAGAGACCGACCGGCCACAUUGGGACUGAGACACGGCCCAAACUCCUACGGGAGGCAGCAGUGGGGAAUUUUGCGCAAUGGGCGAAAGCCUGACGCAGCAACGCCGCGUGCGGGAUUGAAGGCCUUCGGGUUGUAAACCGCUUUCAGCAGGAAAGAUUAUGACGGUACCUGCAGAAGAAGCUCCGGCUAACUACGUGCCAGCAGCCGCGGUAAUACGUAGGGAGCAAGCGUUAUCCGGAUUCAUUGGGCGUAAAGCGCGCGUAGGCGGCUUGCUAAGCAAGGUGUUAAAUCUGAGGGCUCAACCCCCAGCCGCACCUUGAACUGGCAGGCUUGAGUUCGGUAGAGGAAAGUGGAAUUCCCAGUGUAGCGGUGGAAUGCGCAGAUAUUGGGGAAGAACACCGGUGGCGAAAGCGGCUUUCUGGGCCGUAACUGACGCUGAGGCGCGAAAGCUAGGGAGCGAAC